rnacentral:rRNA from 1 species
UACGGAGGGUGCAAACGUUGCUCGGAAUCAUUGGGCGUAAAGCGUGCGUAGGUGGUUUGUUAAGUCUGAUGUGAAAGCCCUGGGCUCAACCUGGGAAUUGCAUUGGAUACUGGCAGGCUAGAGUGCGGUAGAGGAUGGCGGAAUUCCCGGUGUAGCAGUGAAAUGCGUAGAGAUCGGGAGGAACAUCUGUGGCGAAGGCGGCCAUCUGGACCAGCACUGACACUGAGGCACGAAAGGCGUGGGGAGCAAACAGGGA